AGUGAACGCUGGCGGUAGGCCUAACACAUGCAAGUCGAACGGCAGCACAGUAAGAGCUUGCUCUUACGGGUGGCGAGUGGCGGACGGGUGAGGAAUACAUCGGAAUCUACUUUUUCGUGGGGGAUAACGUAGGGAAACUUACGCUAAUACCGCAUACGACCUACGGGGGAAAGCAGGGGAUAUUCGGACCUUGCGCGAUUGAAUGAGCCGAUGUCGGAUUAGCUAGUUGGCGGGGUAAAGGCCCACCAAGGCGACGAUCCGUAGCUGGUCUGAGAGGAUGAUCAGCCACACUGGAACUGAGACACGGUCCAGACUCCUACGGGAGGCAGCAGUGGGGAAUAUUGGACAAUGGGCGCAAGCCUGAUCCAGCCAUACCGCGUGGGUGAAGAAGGCCUUCGGGUUGUAAAGCCCUUUUGUUGGGAAAGAAAAGCAGCAGGUUAAGACCCCGCUGUUCUGACGGUACCCAAAGAAUAAGCACCGGCUAACUUCGU
rnacentral:rRNA from 1 species